GAAGGCCUGCAGCUUGUCCUAGAACCAUGCAAGAGGGACCAUUGAAGCUGAAGGUGGAUUGCUGUUGGGUGGAAAGGAUGUAGUCACUCAAAAAUGCUGCCAGAAGAAGAGCAAGAGAAAAGAACAAUAGCUUCUCCCGUGAGACAAUCUCAUCCCUCCACUAGUGUCUUCUCUUGGAAUGAUCUAUUGUGCUCUGAGUGGGUAGAAAACAUGAUGGCAAGUGUAUGGUGCUGAAUCAAGGUAAAAGAGGAAAUGAUUAUGUACUCACAGAGGGUGGAACAUAAAGGUGAUUGGAAAGAAUCAGGAUGUCAGAUUGUGUUGGAUUAGUCUUCCAGCCUUCACUGAGGUCUACAGUAUAGAUACUGGAUUGGCUUAAAUUGAACGUUCUGCAAAUAAGAGAAGGUAUAUUCUUGUCCAAGAGGAUGUGGUAUCUACAUAUAGGAGGAAAGAUAUACGUGUACAUGUGGUGGCUGAACCAUUUGAUUGUGGAUCAGGAUACAUAAGCAGCAAGUUCAAAGACUGAAGGAACAAGGAAUAUCAGCUCAUAAAGAUGAGAAAGAAUCAGAGCAAGAACUCUGGCAACUCAAAAGCCAAGGUGUCUUCUUACCUCCAAACAACCAUAUUAUUUCGUUAGCAACGAUUCUUAACCAGACUGAGAUUGCUGAAGUA